rnacentral:rRNA from 1 species
UGGGGAAUUUUCCGCAAUGGGCGAAAGCCUGACGGAGCAAGACCGCGUGAGGGAGGAAGGCCCUUGGGUUGUAAACCUCUUUUCUCAGGGAAGAAGAAAGUGACGGUACCUGAGGAAUCAGCCUCGGCUAACUCCGUGCCAGCAGCCGCGGUAAUACGGAGGAGGCAAGCGUUAUCCGGAAUUAUUGGGCGUAAAGCGUCCGCAGGUGGUGGUGCCAGUCUGCGGUUAAAGACCGGAGCUUAACUCCGGAGUUGCCGUGGAAACUGCGCUACUAGAGGCCGGUAGGGGUAGAGGGAAUUCCCAGUGUAGCGGUGAAAUGCGUAGAGAUUGGGAAGAACACCAGUGGCGAAAGCGCUCUACUGGGCCGGUACUGACACUCACAGGACGAAAGCUAGGGGAGCGAAAGGGAUUAGAUACCCCCGUAGUCC